rnacentral:ncRNA from 1 species
CUUCUUCGGGGUCGGGUGUAAUUCCCAAUCGGCGGUAAUUUUUAGAAGUCCGCGACCUGCUUUUUGGCAGCUGAUCUGGUGAGAUUCCAGAACCGACAGUAAAAGUCUGGAUGAGAGAAGAAG